GUGGGGAAUAUUGCGCAAUGGCCGCAAGGCUGACGCAGCGACGCCGCGUGGGGGAUGAAGCAUUUCGGUGUGUAAACCCCUGUUGCUCGGGACGAACAGCUCUUUUCGAGGAGCCUGACGGUACCGGGUGAGGAAGCACCGGCUAACUCCGUGCCAGCAGCCGCGGUAAUACGGAGGGUGCGAGCGUUGUCCGGAAUCACUGGGCGUAAAGGGCGCGUAGGUGGUCUGCUAAGCGUGCGGUGAAAGCCCGGGGCUCAACCCCGGGUCGGCCGUGCGAACUGGUGGACUGGAGCACUGUAGAGGCAGGUGGAAUUCCGGGUGUAGCGGUGGAAUGCGUAGAGAUCCGGAAGAACACCGGUGGCGAAGGCGGCCUGCUGGGCAGUUGCUGACACUGAGGCGCGACAGCGUGGGGAGCAAACAGGAUUAGAUACCCCAGUAGUCC
rnacentral:rRNA from 1 species